UACGUAGGGUGCUAGCGUUGUUCGGAAUCAUUGGGCGUAAAGCGAGUGCAGGCCGUUAAAUAAGUCGGAUGUGAAAUCCCUGGGCUCAACCGAGGAAGUGCAUUCGAAACUAUUUAGCUAGAAGAUGGUAGAGGAAGGUGGAAUUCCAAGUGUAGAGGUGAAAUUCGUAGAUAUUUGGAGGAAUACCGGUGGCGAAGGCGGCCUUCUUGACCAUUCUUGACGCUGAGACUCGAAAGCGUGGGUAGCAAACAGG
rnacentral:rRNA from 1 species